CCUCCUUUUCUUGGCAUGUAUGAGUUGGGAUGUACUCCUGCAUGUUAUGUCCGGAGGAAGAGCAUUUUCAGUGCUAUGUCUUCGGUGCCAGUUGGCUUAAAUCUACUGGUCCUAUCCUCAAUCACUGAGACAACA